rnacentral:rRNA from 1 species
UAGGGAAUUUUCGUCAAUGGGGGCAACCCUGAACGAGCAAUGCCGCGUGAACGAAGAAGGUCUUCGGAUUGUAAAGCUCUGUUGCCGGGGAAAAAGGAAGGAAAGAGGAAAUGCUUUUCUUUGGAUGGUACCCGGCCAGAAAGUCACGGCUAACUACGUGCC